AUGGCGACGGCGGCGGAGUUGGACUCCGGUGGCGGCUCGAAGAGGAGGCGGACGGGCGAGGGAGGGGAGCGAGCGCAUCCAGGCGCGGGAGCGGCGGAGGAGGACCGUAUUUCGUCGCUGCCGGAGGCGCUGCGGCUGCACAUCCUCGGCCUCCUCCCGUUCAAAUCCGCCGUUCGCACGGGCGCGAUCUCCACCCGGUGGCGCGCGCUCUGGGCGCACCGCUGGCCGGAGCCCUCCUCGCUCGACCUCCGCCUCAAGACCCACGCGCCCCCGCCGCCGAUCCUCGAAUCCCUGGAGCGGCGCGGCCGCCGGCGCCUCGACCGGCUCUCCCUGACCCCUGGGCUUCAUUUUCAAGCUCCGCCUCCCGCGGGCGACCCGCACCUCACGCGCCUCACCGUCGGCAGCAUCCGCGUCGGCCUCUCCAAGCCCUUCUCCGCCCGCUGCCACACCUUCUCCGUCCUCGAGGUCAUCUACCUCGAGGGCGUCACGCUCUCCGACCACACCGUCGAGAACCUGGUCGCCGCGUGCCCCCUCCUCCGCGCCCUCGACCUGCGCUACUGCGAUGGCCUCGAUUUCGUCAACGUCGAGGCCGCCGGGCCGCACCUGAGGAGCCUCACCGUCGCGGAGUGCGGAGGGGUGAGAGACAUUUCUACCAUGGAGGCGCCCAGCCUUCGCUCCUUCCGCUACAGCGGCUCCUACAGCCGCGCCCUGACAAUCCCUGCCGCCUGCGCGCUCGCCGACCUUUACCUAUGCUUCGGCGGACCUGCCGGUCGCCUCCGGCCUCUCGGCACCCCACUCUGUUUCGAUUUUGCUUGGCCUGCAGGGGUGCCAAGAAAUUGGCUUCAGGCACCGUGCUUACCCUCUGCAGCAGUGCCCUGCGGGUUGGUUGCUUCCUGCAUUUCAUUCCAUCGAUUUUUAUUGCAAUACUUAGUUACUCAUUGGUCAUGGCCUUCUUUGCAGAGAGUGUCUGCCAAGGCUCGUGAGAGAUCACUAACCAAAAGUGGUGCCGCGUCGUGCGAAUUGCGGAAUUUGAGAGAGCUGCAGCUGCUGAUGUUUGCAAUGUAUAACAGCAGCGUGGAUGACAUUUGUGUUUUCAUCGUGGCCUGCUGCCCCUCUCUAUUAGAGAGGAUGUUUGUGCAGCUUCCAACAAAUAGUCACUAUUAUAGAGCAGGCUCGGAACCAUCAGAAUCAGAGGAAGAGCUACUAGAGGAAAACAGGCCAGUGGAGGAUCUGCGGGGAGAAGCGCCACCUGAGGAAGAUGGGCCAGAGGGAGAGCUACCAGAAGAGGAAGAUGAGCUUCAGGAGGAGCUACCAGAGGGAGAGCUAUCAGAAGAGGAAGUUGAGCUUCAAGACGAGCUGCCAGAGGGAGAGCUAUCGGAAGAGGAAGAUGAGCUUCAAGACGAGCUGCCAGAGGGAGAGCUAUCAGAAGAGGAAGAUGAGCUUCAAGACGAGCUGCCAGAGGGAGAGGCGUCGGAGGAAAAUCAAUCAGAGGAAGACUGGUCAGAUGAAGAGCUAUCUGAUGGAGGGCAAUCAGAGGAAGACCCAGUAGAAGAUUGCCUUGAGAACCUUAAGUUGCUCAAGAUGACGAAUUUCAAGGGGGGUGACAAUGAGAUGAGGCUACUAAGGUUUGUGUUGAGGAACUCUACUAGUCUCAACCAAUUGCUGCUAUUUACAUCGAAGAGUGAUCGACCAGAGUGGCUCCAGAAGGAUCAUCUGGAUACGUCCGAUAUUCUCGAAACAAAAAUAUUGCCUCUCCAAAAAGCCCUACCAAAUUGCCAGAUAAUUCUCAGUGAGUCUGAUGGUGAUGCAAUUCAGGCAUUUCAUCGGGAGGCCUUUGUCAACGUCUAG
rnacentral:rRNA from 1 species